rnacentral:tRNA from 1 species
ACCUGGCUAACGUCAGUUGGUAGAGCAUGGGACUCUUGAUCUCAGGGUUGUGGGUUCGAGUCCCAUGUUGGGUG